rnacentral:rRNA from 1 species
GACGAACGCUGGCGGCGUGCCUAAUACAUGCAAGUCGAGCGAAGUUUUUCUGGUGCUUGCACUAGAAAAACUUAGCGGCGAACGGGUGAGUAACACGUAAAGAACCUGCCUCAUAGACUGGGACAACUAUUGGAAACGAUAGCUAAUACCGGAUAACAGUAUUUCUCGCAUGAGAGAUAUUUAAAAGUUGGUUAUGCUAACACUAUGAGAUGGCUUUGCGGUGCAUUAGCUAGUUGGUGGGGUAAAGGCCCACCAAGGCAACGAUGCAUAGCCGACCUGAGAGGGUGAUCGGCCACACUGGGACUGAGACACGGCCCAGACUCCUACGGGAGGCAGCAGUAGGGAAUCUUCCGCAAUAGGCGAAAGCCUGACGGAGCAACGCCGCGUGAGUGAAGAAGGAUUUCGGUUCGUAAAGCUCUGUUGUUAGGGAAGAAUGGAUAUGUAGUAACUAUACAUGUAAGAGACGGUACCUAACCAGAAAGCCACGGCUAACUACGUG